CAUAUAUACAAUUUUUUCCAGCCUUUUGUGGGCCUUUUUUGUUUUUUGUUUGGCGUAUAAAAUAAAUGGCAACGCCAGCGGCGACGGCGUCUGAAGCUGAAGAGCCACUCCACUGUAGCCGGUGUAUGGGGCCCUCUCGCUCGCACACGCACGCCCCGUCUCUUUCUGUCGCACUCGGAACAUCUCUAUCGCACUGUGGUGAAAAAGUAGCUUUCGCGCCGCCAUUUUUUGUGGCGCCUUUGUUUAUGCCACAGUUAUUUUUCCUCCUCUUCCUCGGCCAUCAUCUUGUGCCUUUUUGUGCUUUUUCUGUUUGGCAAUUCCUCAUAAUGAGCGUGGCCUUUGUCGUUGUUGUUGUUGUUGAAUUAUUCAUUUAAUUGAAUGUUGGCUUAACUUUUUCAAGUGCAAAAAACUUUGACAUUUUGUGUAAAUGUGGCAAAUGCUUGCUUUUGCUUUCCUUUUUAUAGACCCCUGUUCCUUUUCUCUCAUUUUCAUUUUGUUUGCAUUGUUUAUUUAAAUAAAUCCUUUUUGUUCGCUUGUGGUGUAAUUAAAGUUUUGAAAAUUGUCCUCCAGAUAAUAAAAGGGACAGAUGAAGUGAUAUGUACGGUGAUAGCUGGCAUAAAUGAAUCAUUCUAUAACGAAAUAAUUUCUAACUUAUUAAACGAUUUUUAAGAAACUCGUAGAGUAAUGCUAAUGGGAUUGGCACUAAACCCGUUGUUCGAAUCGUUUCAUAAAUAAUAAUGUCUCAAUAAAAGACUGGAUUUAGCCUGCCAAAAACACAAUUUCUUUUACAAGUUAAAAGAAAAUAUUUAUUCCUGAAAAGAAAACCCGAAAUGGUUAAAUACAUAGCAUGUAAAGGACAAUCCUUGGUCUCGCGGUCAUACUUUCUAUCAACCAGGUGGCUGACAGUUCAGUUUUGGCCCACUCUGUCCCAGUUCCACCUUUGCCACAAAAGAAUUUUCCGAGCUCCUGCCACUCCACCGCCCCCUCGAUAUUCCACCCGCUCUAAACAAACUUAACAAAGACUGCAACUGACAGCAAAUAUUACUGAAAAAGAGAGGACGAGCGAGAGGAGCUGUCAAUUCGCAUAAUGGAUUUGCCAAAAAGCGGACUAAAAAGGAAAAUGUGAAAGGCGAACAAAAGCUUUCAGCUCGACAAUAUCAACAACAACGGCGCUGGAAAAAAAUCGAAAGAAAAUAAUUCGAAAUUCAAGUUUGCUUCUAAAUUGUAUUUAAGUUUGCUGGAUCCCAUCGAUAUGUUUUCUUGAACUCUUGGCAUUGGAAGAGAACGCUAAAUGGAUGUACAAUACUGGAUGGCUUAUAAGGAGAACGGGGUCCUCAAGGGAGUUGGGCGAAAAACAGCCCCCAGGAUCAGAGAAACCCCUUUUUUAUCCUUCGCAUCCUUCAGAUGCAAUGAGUUUGCCUGUUGUUGCUCUUUGGUUCGCUCAACUGGAUGGCAAGUGAGUCGCAUUUAAUUUGCCUUUGUUUCCACGCCAACAAUGGCUAAAUAAAAAUGCAAGAAAAAGUCAUUUAACGAGUGCUUGACUGGGGGAGCUCUGGAUGGAUUGCUUACCCAGGGGAAACCCCGCAGCUACUGAUUAGUCGAGCUACCCAAUCUAUAAAGUAGGACUCUCAUCCAAUAUGCAUGAGCUGAUCGAAAAGGUAGUCCUAAGAACUGGCAUUGUUAUGCUAAAGAACUUGGCUGUCAGCUGCCACGUGUCGAGUGUUUGCAACUUGGAUUGAAAUUGAAUUUACUACGCUGAAUGCAGAGAGAAAAAGAUUUAGGACU
rnacentral:sRNA from 1 species